rnacentral:rRNA from 1 species
AAAAUAGGUGCCCGUACCGCAAACCGACACAGGUAGUCAAGAUGAGAAUUCUAAGGUGAGCGAGCGAACUCUCGUUAAGGAACUCGGCAAAAUGACCCCGUAACUUCGGGAGAAGGGGUGCUCUUUAGGGUUAACGCCCAGAAGAGCCGCAGUGAAUAGGCCCAAGCGACUGUUUAUCAAAAACACAGGUCUCUGCUAAACCGUAAGGUGAUGUAUAGGGGCUGACGCCUGCCCGGUGCUGGAAGGUUAAGAGGAGUGGUUAGCUUCUGCGAAGCUACGAAUCGAAGCCCCAGUAAACGGCGGCCGUAACUAUAACGGUCCUAAGGUAGCGAAAUUCCUUGUCGGGUAAGUUCCGACCCGCACGAAAGGCGUAACGAUUUGGGCACUGUCUCAACGAGAGACUCGGUGAAAUCAUAGUACCUGUGAAGAUGCAGGUUACCCGCGACAGGACGGAAAGACCCCGUGGAGCUUUACUGUAGCCUGAUAUUGAAAUUCGGCACAGCUUGUACAGGAUAGGUAGGAGCCUUUGAAACGUGAGCGCUAGCUUACGUGGAGGCGCUGGUGGGAUACUACCCUAGCUGUGUUGGCUUUCUAACCCGCACCACUUAUCGUGGUGGGAGACAGUGUCAGGCGGGCAGUUUGACUGGGGCGGUCGCCUCCUAAAAGGUAACGGAGGCGCUCAAAGGUUCCCUCAGAAUGGUUGGAAAUCAUUCAUAGAGUGUAAAGGCAUAAGGGAGCUUGACUGCGAGACCUACAAGUCGAGCAGGGUCG